rnacentral:rRNA from 1 species
UGGUCAAGUUAUUAAGGGUGCAGGGCGGAUGCCUUGGCACUAGGAGCCGAUGAAGGACGUGAUAAGCUGCGAUAAGCUUCGGGGAGUUGCACGUAAACUUUGAUCCGAAGAUUUCCGAAUGAGGAAACUCACUUAGAGUAAUGUCUAAGUAUCAUUAAGUGAAUACAUAGCUUAAUGAGGGGAACUCAGGGAACUGAAACAUCUAAGUACCUGAAGGAAGAGAAAGAAAUUCGAUUCCGUAAGUAGCGGCGAGCGAACGCGGAUUAGCCCAAACCAAUAAAGUUUUCUUUAUUGGGGUUGCGGACAUAUCAUAACGAAGAGGUAUCGUAAUUGAAGAGGUUUGGAAAGACCCACCACAGAAGGUAAUAGUCCUGUAUGUUAAACGAGAAGACUUUAGAUAUGAUCCAGAGUACCACGGGACACGUGAAACCCUGUGGGAAGCAGGAGGGACCACCCUCCAAGGCUAAAUACUACCUAGUGACCGAUAGCGUAUAGUACCGUGAGGGAAAGGUGAAAAGAACCCCGGGAGGGGAGUGAAAUAGAACCUGAAACCCUGCACUUACAAGCUGUGGAAGCACAUUUCUUGUGUGACCGCGUACUUUUUGUAGAACGGGCCAACGAGUUACGUUAAGUAGCAAGGUUAAGCACUUAAGGUGCGGAGCCGUAGCGAAAGCGAGUUUUAACUGAGCGUUCAGUUACUUGACGUAGACCCGAAACCGGGCGACCUACCCAUGAGCAGGAUGAAGCGAAAGUAAAAUUUCGUGGAGGUCCGAACCCACGAGCGUUGAAAAGCUCGGGGAUGACUUGUGGGUAGCGGUGAAAUUCCAAUCGAGCCCGGAGAUAGCUGGUUCUCCCCGAAAUAGCUUUAGGGCUAGCCUCAAGGUGAGAGAUACGGAGGUAGAGCACUGAAUGUCCUAGGGGGUAUUGCACCUACCGAAGACUAUCAAACUCCGAAUGCCGUCAUCUUAUACUUGGGAGUCAGACUGUGGGUGAUAAGAUUCAUAGUCGAAAGGGCAACAGCCCAGAUCGUCAGCUAAGGUCCCUAAAUGUAAGUUAAGUGGUAAAGGAUGUGGGAUUGCACAGACAACCAGGAUGUUGGCUUAGAAGCAGCCACUCAUUCAAAGAGUGCGUAAUAGCUCACUGGUCGAGUGAUCCUGCGCCGAAGAUUUCCGGGGCUAAAACUUACUACCGAAGCUACGGCAUCAGUAAUGAUGGGUAGGGGAGCUUCCCAUACGGGUUGAAGCAUGACCGUAAGGACAUGUGGACAGUAUGGGAGUGAGAAUGUUGGCAUGAGUAGCGAGAUGUGGGUGAGAAUCCCACAGGCCGUAAACCCAAGGUUUCCAGGGGAAGGUUCGUCCGCCCUGGGUUAGUCGGGACCUAAGCUGAGGCCGAAAGGCGUAGGUGAUGGACAACAGGUUGAUAUUCCUGUACUACCGAUAACCGUUUGAGAGAAGGGAUGACACAGUAGGAUAAGCUAAGCACACUGUUGGUUAUGUGUGCCCAAGCAUUGAGGCAGUCAAAGUAGGCAAAUCCGCUUUGAUAAUGCUGGGAUGUGAUGGGGAGCGAAAUUUAGUAGCGAAGUAGCUGAUUUCACACUGUCAAGAAAAGUCUCUAUCGAGGUUAAAGGUACCCGUACCGCAAACCGACACAGGUGGGUGAGGAGAGUAUCCUAAGGCCAGCGAGAGAACUGUUGUUAAGGAACUCGGCAAAAUGACCCCGUAACUUAGGGAUAAGGGGUGCCACCAUCAGGUGGCCGCAGAGAAUAGGCCCAAGCGACUGUUUACCAAAAACAUAGGUUUCUGCUAAGUCGCAAGACGAUGUAUAGGAGCUGACGCCUGCCCGGUGCUGGAAGGUUAAGGGGAUCUGUUAGAGCAAUCGAAGCAGUGAACUUAAGCCCCAGUAAACGGCGGCCGUAACUAUAACGGUCCUAAGGUAGCGAAAUUCCUUGUCGGGUAAGUUCCGACCCGCACGAAAGGCGUAACGAUUUGGGCACUGUCUCAACAACAGACUCGGUGAAAUUGUAAUUCCGGUGAAGAUGCCGGAUACCUGCGACAGGACGGAAAGACCCCAUGGAGCUUUACUGUAGCUUGACAUUGGGUCUUGGUACUACAUGUACAGGAUAGGUGGGAGGCUUUGAAACCAGGACGCCAGUUUUGGCGGAGCCAUCCUUGGGAUACCACCCUUGUAGUACUGGGACUCUAACCAUAGGCCAUGAAUCUGGUCUUGGGACACUGUCAGGUGGGCAGUUUGACUGGGGCGGUCGCCUCCCAAAAGGUAACGGAGGCGCUCAAAGGUUCUCUCAGUACGGUCGGAAAUCGUACGUAGAGUGUAAAGGCAAAAGAGAGCUUGAUUGCAAGACAUACAGGUCGAGCAAGGAUGAAAAUCGGACUUAGUGAUCCGGUGGUUCUGCGUGGAAGGGCCAUCGCUCAACGGAUAAAAGCUACCCUGGGGAUAACAGGCUUAUCUCCCCCAAGAGUCCACAUCGACGGGGAGGUUUGGCACCUCGAUGUCGGCUCAUCACAUCCUGGGGCUGUAGUAGGUCCCAAGGGUUGGGCUGUUCGCCCAUUAAAGUGGUACGCGAGC